GCCUGGGUGGCGAAACUGGCAGACGCGCAGCGUUCAGGACGCUGUGGCCGCAAGGUCUUGGGAGUUCGAGUCUCCCCUCAGGCA
rnacentral:tRNA from 3 species